GGGCUUGUGGUUUAGUGGUAUAAUACUCCCUUAGCAUCGUAUCAGCUUUCAUGCUUCACAUGUAGCAUGAAAUGUCUACAAGCAAAUUGGGAGUGGUCCGGGGUUCGAUUCCCCGCGAGUCCA